CAGGAGACAUCGGGGACAUGCGGAAGGUUCCUACCCAACGACACGACAGACGUUACACAGACAUUACAACAGAAAACGACAUUUCAUUUCAUUUCGUAAAGGCCCUUUUUUAGUUUUUCUCCUACAAAUGCAAAUAUGAAGCGCAGCAGCAAAAGCGGAAAUAAAGAUAUUUCCAUAGUAAGAGUGAACCCAGUUGGGACAGAUCCCCCCCCGCGACCCUGUGUGCAGGACAAGCGGCUUGCAGGUGGAUGGAGUCAAGGCGACAGAACGUCGAUACACCACACGGUGUCACUCAGGGAGAAUCAGGACAUGAAGUCAUGAGCUGACGUCCUAACCAGGAGAUGCAGAAGAGCUAUUGGAUUAGUGCUUGUAUUGAACCAUUACCAUUAACUACGGUACUGCACGUUACGCCACGAUGACACAUUGUUAUGGUCAAUGCACAUGUUGCAUAAUCAUCCAAAUGGUUUUGAUAAAAUGCGCAUAUACUGUGAGGGAUUUUCCAAUACACGUAGUGAUGUUUAGGGUUAAAAUUGCACUUUGUGUUAUAUUAGUUAUUACAUUAGCUUGUUAGAUGAAAUAAUUGCUAUAUGAAUCGAAACAAUUUAUAGUCAUUUAAGUCAUAUAAUUACUGUACACAUUAACAAUGAUUUUAAGUAUUCCAUUUAAUUGACCAUUUUUACUUCCGUAUUCUAUGUCUUAAACUUUUAUUCUUGUUUAUUGUUUUGUUGAGGUCAUUUUCUUUUCAUUUAGCCUUUUAAUGGUUAUGUGACUCGCUUUUAAUUUCCUUUCUGUUAAAACGUGCUAGACAUUUAACCUUGCCAGUAAAAUCUGUUCAACUCAUCUCAGUAAGAUUUGUUUUGUAAUGUAUUCACGUUGGUUCUCCUCAGACAUUCGCUCAUAUUUCAUGUGACAGAAAUUUCACCCUCCAUUGUGUUAAUCGGUAUUGGAAAUUAAUAUGUAUGUUAUUGUUAUGAAAUAAAUAUCUGAAAAGGAUUUCAUCUCCA